rnacentral:tRNA from 1 species
UGGGCGAUACAAGAUUCGAACUUGUGACCCCUUCCGUGUCAGGGAAGUGCGCUACCACUGCGCCAACCGCCC